rnacentral:rRNA from 1 species
AGUGAACGCUAGCGGGAGGCCUAACACAUGCAAGCCGAGCGGUAGAGUUCCUUCGGGAACUUGAGAGCGGCGUACGGGUGCGUAACACGUGUGCAACCUACCUUUAUCUGGGGGAUAGCCUUUCGAAAGGAAGAUUAAUACCCCAUAAUAUAUUGAAUGGCAUCAUUUAAUAUUGAAAACUCUGGUGGAUAGAGAUGGGCACGCGCAAGAUUAGAUAGUUGGUGAGGUAACGGCUCACCAAGUCUGUGAUCUUUAGGGGUCCUGAGAGGGAGAUCCCCCACACUGGUACUGAGACACGGACCAGACUCCUACGGGAGGCAGCAGUGAGGAAUAUUGGACAAUGGGUGAGAGCCUGAUCCAGCCAUCCCGCGUGAAGGAUGACGGUCCUAUGGAUUGUAAACUUCUUUUGUACAGGAAUAAACCUAUUUACGUGUAAAUAGCUGACGGUACUGUACGAAUAAGCACCGGCUAACUCCGUGCCAGCCGCCGCCGUAA